GCAGCCGCGGUAAUUCCAGCUCCAAUAGCGUAUAUUAAAGUUGUUGCAGUUAAAAAGCUCGUAGUUGAAUUUCGAGACCGGCUUACUGGUCGUGCUAUUGUGCGUACUGGUAUAAUCGGUUUCUCCUUUCUGACGAACUAUAAUGCCAUUAAUUUGGUGUUAUAGGGAAUCAGGACUGUUACUUUGAAAAAAUUAGAGUGUUUAAAGCAGGCUCACGCUUGAAUACAUUAGCAUGGAAUAACGGAAUAGGACGUUUGAUUCUAUUUUGUUGGUUUCUAGGAUCGACGUAAUGAUUAAUAGGGAUAGUUGGGGGCAUUAGUAUUCAAUUGUCAGAGGUGAAAUUCUUGGAUUUAUUGAAGACUAACUACUGCGAAAGCAUUUGCCAAGGAUGUUUUCAUUAAUCAAGAACGAAAGUUAGGGGAUCGAAGACGAUCAGAUACCGUCGUAGUCUUAACCAUAAACUAUGCCGACUAGGGAUCGGAUGAUGUUAAUUUUUUAAUGACUCAUUCGGCGCCUUACGGG
rnacentral:rRNA from 1 species